AAAUUGAAGAGUUUGAUCAUGGCUCAGAUUGAACGCUGGCGGCAGGCCUAACACAUGCAAGUCGAACGGUAACAGGAAGCAGCUUGCUGAUUCGCUGACGAGUGGCGGACGGGUGAGUAAUGUCUGGGAAACUGCCUGAUGGAGGGGGAUAACUACUGGAAACGGUAGCUAAUACCGCAUAACGUCGCAAGACCAAAGAGGGGGACCUUCGGGCCUCUUGCCAUCGGAUGUGCCCAGAUGGGAUUAGCUAGUAGGUGGGGUAACGGCUCACC
rnacentral:rRNA from 1 species